rnacentral:rRNA from 1 species
AUUGAACGCUGGCGGCAGGCCUAACACAUGCAAGUCGAGCGGAGCGGCGGACGGGUGAGUAAUGCCUAGGAAUCUGCCUGGUAGUUGGGGAUAACGUCCGGAAACGGGCGCUCAUACCGUAUACUAUCAGAUUAGCCUAGUUCGGAUUAGCUAGUUGGUGGGGUAAAGGCCUACCAAGGCGACGAUCCGUACCUGGUCUGAGAGGAGGAGCAGUCAGAUUGUAACUGAGACACGUCCCAGACUCCUACGGGAGCCAGCAUUGGGGAAGUUUGGACAAUGGGCAAUAGCCUGUUCCAGCCAUACCGCGUGUGUGAAGAAGGUCUUCGGAUUGUACAGCUCUUUAAGAUGGGAGGCGUUACCAACAGAAUAAGCACCUGCUAACUUCGUGCCAGCAGCCGCGGUAAUUC